UCUCAAUACCAUGUUACUGUCCUGACCGACAAAGUGGUAGUAGGAGCCACUGGCAUUGUUCCAAGUGCAAGAAAGUAAUUCAAAGGUCUUUUGAUUUCAAAUGCCACUUAAAAAAACAUGGUCUGAUGUUCCCAGAAAAAGCCUCAGAUGACAGAAAACCCUGCCAGGAAACCAUCCAUGUUGACCCAGUUCAGAAAGAGAACCUGUUCUGCAGGAAAUGUGGGAUUCACUUCACCAGCACAUCCAACUACCAAUAACAUGAAAGACAGCAGCAUGGCAGACAGGAACCAAUGAUAUGCAUUGAUCCUGUAAAUGGAAAUAUAUGUGACAACAAAAGAAUCUCACGGAAUGAGACUACCAAUACAUGUGCAAAAGUCUUCUGUUUU